UUAGUUGUUGUAGGGGUGUAUUGUGAAGAGACAUGUUUGAGAGCAUGUCAGUUAAUCAAUGACCCGGUUUGUGCUACCUAUACGAAGACAUAUGGCAAUGAAUGUACGAUGAAAGCCGAUGCUUGCGAAAUGGCUAAGAAGGGUUUCAGUCUAGUGAAACAACCUGCUGCUGGAGAAUGUAGUUGUCUACGUGCCUGUACAUUUAUCUACAAACCAGUCUGUGCUAAUGAUGGCAAUACAUACAACUCAGAAUGUGUCAUGGGAUCCGAAUCCUGCA